AUUCCCUUCUCUGGAGAUUCAUAGUAAGUCCAGGAUACAGGGUUUUCUUCUUUUCUGUUCCAAGAAUAAGCCACAGAGGUUCUGGAAGAAACACUUUUUCCCUCCAUAUCACUUUUGCCACUCUAUAUCCUCAACAGCACCUGUAGUCAACUCACAGCAUCAAAGAUCCACAAGGCCCAGUGAUGGCUGACUAUCCUAAGAAAAGGAGGGCAGUAAAGAAUUCUCCUGGGACCACUGCUGUGCCCAGGCACAGACAAUGAAUUCUCCUUUAAGACUUGUCGGUCUCAUUUCUAAUAAAGCUAAAAAAAAAAAUCUUCAAACUAUUUCUAUAUAAACGCGAACAAUUUGUGAUCGAAGUGUGCUCCAUGCAGAACUGUGCUGUAACUAUGGAAACUUACAUGGAGGGAGACAUCCACUGUAAAUCUAUAAGGAUCUAAUUUGGAUGAGAUUUAGUUGUACUAGUCACCGAUUUAUGAAUAUUCCAAUCAUGUAAAAAAAAAAAAAAAACACACCCUAGUUUCUAACAGCAUUGUUUUUAAAUAGGGAGCUCUGUGAAUGAGAAUGCUAUUACCAGCAUUUACACCGAACAGUUUCUGUAUCUUAUUUUAUGAUUCUUUUGCAACUUG